rnacentral:rRNA from 1 species
UACGUAGGGUGCGAGCGUUAAUCGGAAUUACUGGGCGUAAAGCGUGUGCAGGCGGUUUUGUAAGCCAGAUGUGAAAUCCCCGGGCUUAACCUGGGAAUGGCAUUUGGGACUGCAAGGCUUGAGUUUGGCAGAGGAGACUGGAAUUCCUGGUGUAGCAGUGAAAUGCGUAGAUAUCAGGAGGAAUACCGAUGGCGAAGGCAGGUCUCUGGGCUAGAACUGACGCUCAUGCACGAAAGCGUGGGGAGCAAACAGG